rnacentral:rRNA from 1 species
GACGAACGCUGGCGGCGUGCCUAACACAUGCAAGUCGAGCGAAUGAAGUUCCUUCGGGAACGGAUUUAGCGGCGGACGGGUGAGUAACACGUGGGCAACCUACCUCAUAGAGGGGAAUAGCCUUCCGAAAGGGAGAUUAAUACCGCAUAAGAUUGUAGUACCGCAUGGUACAGCAAUUAAAGGAGCAAUCCGCUAUGAGAUGGGCCCGCGGCGCAUUAGCUAGUUGGUGAGGUAACGGCUCACCAAGGUGACGAUGCGUAGCCGACCUGAGAGGGUGAUCGGCCACAUUGGGACUGAGACACGGCCCAGACUCCUACGGGAGGCAGCAGUGGGGAAUAUUGCACAAUGGGGGAAACCCUGAUGCAGCAACGCCGCGUGAGUGAUGACGGCCUUCGGGUUGUAAAGCUCUGUCUUCAGGGACGAUAAUGACGGUACCUGAGGAGGAAGCCACGGCUAACUACGUGCCAGCCGCCGCCGUAAGAC